AAUUUUGGACAAUGGGGGAAACCCUGAUCCAGCCAUCCCGCGUGUAUGAUGAAGGCCUUCGGGUCGUAAAGUUCUGUCCUAGGGGACGAUAAUGACGGUACCCUAGGAGGAAGCCCCGGCUAACUACGUGCCAGCAGCCGCGGUAAUACGUAGGGGGCGAGCGUUAUCCGGAAUUAUUGGGCGUAAAGGGUGCGUAGGCGGCCUUUUAAGUCAGAUGUGAAAGGCUACGGCUUAACCGUGGUUAGCAUUUGAAACUAAAAGGCUUGAGUGCAGGAGAGGAGAGUGGAAUUCCUAGUGUAGCGGUGAAAUGCGUAGAUAUUAGGAGGAACACCAGUGGCGAAGGCGACUCUCUGGACUGCAACUGACGCUGAGGCACGAAAGCGUGGGGAGCGAACAGG
rnacentral:rRNA from 1 species